GGCCUCCCUCUUUGGGGCGAUCAAUUGUGGAGCCCCCCACCCCUGAUUGAUCGCCCUACAGAGGGUGGCC
rnacentral:pre_miRNA from 1 species